AUCUUCUGAUUCUUUUCUUUACUGAUCUUUAGUUCAGCCUUAAUAGCUACUGCCUAGAAAAAAAAAUUUUUUCUGGCCAAGAUUUUUUACCCUAGCAAAGCUAUUGCUGAUCCAGCUCGUUCCAGCCAUUAGAUAGCUCGGCUCCACUCGGCCGCUUCUGCCUGCCUGCCUGCAUUCCUGCCUCCGCUCCAGACCUGCUUGCUAUUUGACCCAGACUGCCCCUCACCUGCCUGCCCUUCCCGGCUGGCUCAGCUCAGCUCCUGUUCCCAGCGUCUGGACCUGUUUUGACCCAGAUCUGGAUCACCUGGUAAUCCACCACCCCCUGGCUCAGCAAACUCUAGCCUCGGAGCAGAUUGCUCAUCACCUCAGGCCCAGGACUCAUUUCUACCAGCUUGUAAAGAUGGGGAGUGGAUUGUGGCCAGAUAUGAAGAGGAAAUGGAUCUCAUUUUUGGGUCUGCAACACAAUAUGAUCAAAGGAAAUUGAUUAUGUUCUUGAUCUUUUAUCACUCAAGUCUUAUGUUACAGUGUUUCUUUUUAUUUGGAUUUUCUGAUGUCUUUUUAAUUUCUCUUGCCAAUUGAUUCAUAUACCUCAUAACUCAGUCAUGCAUCCCUGAGUGAUCCCUGUGUUUUUCAAUCACUCUCAAUAUGGGGAAAUGUAAAAAUAUUAUUAUUUUAAAUUGCAAAGUUUAAAUUCCUUUUAAGAAAAAUUUUAGGUAAGGAAAGAUGCUACCUCUCUGAAUACAGGAAUUGAACUGUUGGAGAAGACACCAUGAAGAAGCCUCUAGACCACAAGAUGCACAAGAAGAUUGAGAAUGAACUUUGGGUGUGGUUGAUUGAACAUUUAUUUGUAUGUAUACUUUCAUGCCAAGGGGACUGCCCCCUAACUGGCCUUUUGUCAAUGUGUCUAACAAUUAUUGGUUUUGUUUUUUCCUCUUAUCCUCAAAUUAUUGUAAUCUUUAGGUUGAUUAUGUUUUCAUGAUCCUCUGGGAAAACCUUUCCCAGAGGAUCAUACAGGAUAAUGUAAAAAUGGAGAUUUGAACCCCAGACUUCAAUCCCAGAAGUCCUUGGCCACUUUCCAGAAUGCUUUGUAAUCUCACUGAGAUCCUCACCUGGGAGAGAUCAAAAUUUCUAUUUAACAGGCUGUAAAAGCCUACUGAGUGCUCUUCCUACUUCUGCUUCAGAACAUACACGGCUCUCUACCUAGCAAGCAAGAUGUGAGUGGUUGUGAAUGGGCUCUCUAGGCCUAGACACAUGCUUUCUUAUUCUAUAUUUUCUUUCAUUCUUAACCUUUAUUAAACCUCAUAAAAUAUAAUACUUCUAGCAGAGAAACUAAUUUUUACCUGCCACAGUAAAUCUAAUUUUACCUGCAACAGUUUGGCAAUUUUAAUCUUAACAGUUCUCUGACUUUGGGAAGCAGCUAGGUGACCUAGUGGACACAGGGUCAGGAAGACCUGAAUUCAGAUCUGUCCUAGGCAAGUCACUUAACCUUCUUGUCUUGGGUUCCUCAACUCUCAAAUGGAGAUAAAAAUAAUACCAUUGUUGUGAGGAUUAAAUGUGAUCAUAUUUGUAAAAGUAUAGGCACUAGAUAAAUGUUUAUUCCCUCCCAUCAAUUGAAGCAGGACACUGAUGCUUUAGCUUCAGUUCCCAGUUCUCUUACAGCCAGCUUCUUGAGGCACAUGCCUCUGGGACACUUUAGUAGAAUUCCUUUAGGGAUGACCAUAUGGAUCAUAUACCAAUGGUUGCUGUUACAUAUUGUUUGGCAUGCCUCCUUGCUUCCUGUAGAUGGAAAGAGGACACUCAGGCAGCCAUGAAGCUACUUUUUUAUUCUUCUCAACUAGAGAUAUACUAUCCCUCACUCCUAAUUCUUUGGGGAAAGUUUUGUUAUUGUUGUCGCUUUAAAUCAUCUUUUCCAAAUAAAUCUCUCUAAUGAAAGUCUAAUUUCUCAAAUAUACAAAGAAUUAAGUCAAAUUAAUAAGAAAUCAAAUCACUCCCCAAUUGACAAAUGGUCAAGGGACAUGAAUAAGCAGUUUUCAGAUGAAGAAAUCAAAACCAUCAUAUGAGUCAUAUGAAUCAUCAUAUGAAAAAAAUGUUUUAAAACUCUUCUGACUAGAGGAAUGCAGAUCAAAGCAUCCUUGAGGUACCACAUUACACUUAGCAAAGUGGCCAGUAUGACAGUAAAGGAAAAUGAAUGUUGAGGGGAUGUGGCAAAGUUGGGACAUUAAUGCAGUGCUGAUAGAGUUGUGGAUUGAUCUAAUCUUUCUGGAGGGCAAUUUGGAAUCAUGCCCAAAGAGCCUUAAAAGAAUUCAUACCCUUUGAACCAGUGAUACCAUUAAUGGGGUUAUAGCACAAAGAUAUAUAAAAAAAAUCUGUGCAAGGAUCUGUUUGUACAAAAACAUGUAUAGCUACACUUUUUAUGGUAGCAAAAAACUGGAAAAUGAGGGGAUGCCCCUCAAUUGGGGAAUGGCUGAACAAAUUGUGGUAUAUGAUGGUGGUGGAACACUAUUGUUCAAUAAGGAAUGAUGAAUUGAUGGAUUUCUAAAAGAACUGAAAAGACAUACAUGAGCUGAUGCAAAGUGAAAUAAGCAGAACCAGUAGAUCAUCAUAUACAGAAACUGUAACAUUGUGAGAUCAAUUGACUUGGUUACUAAUAGCAAUGCAAUGAUCCAGGACAAUUAUGUGGAACUUAUGAGAAAGAAAGCUAUCCACAUCUAGAGAAAGAACUGUGGGGGUAGAAAUUCAGAAGACAAAUAUAUGAUUUAUCACUUAUUUAUAUGGGUAUGUGAUUUGGGGUUUUGGUUUUAAAAGAUUACUUUUUUACAAAAAUGAAAAAUAAUGGAAAUGAAUUGGAGUGAUAAUUUAUGUAUAACCCAGGGGAAUUGCUUGUCAACUCCAGGAGGGGAGAGGGAUGAAGUGAGGGAGAAAACAUGAAUCAUGGAAUCAU